GCAUCUCAGUGGCAGAACAUCUGCUUUGCAUGCAGAAGGUCUCAGGGUCAAUCCCUGGCUUCUCCA